rnacentral:lncRNA from 7 species
AUGAAAGAUCGGCUGUAGUAGCCUUUGUAUGCCUAUAACACUUCAACUUUCAAAGUUUUGUACUCUACUGAAUACCUCUCUUACUCACCACGAAUAUCAGCUUUGCGGAAAGAAAUUUCUGAUUUGUAAAUUCUGGGCUCUACUAAUGGAAAAAAAAAGGAGGAUAGAGAAGCAUUUGUACAGGAUAUCCAGAGAUGCACGGUCACCUUCAUCCUCAGUGGUUUCCAGGACCCAAACAGAAAAUUCUCUGAGCAACAUGUGCUUAUCUCUGAUUUGGCCAUGCUCUGAGCAGGAGGUUGGACAAAAGGCCUCAUGAUGUCCCUUCCUGAAUUAAUUAGUUGAGUUCAUAUUCUUGAUACUGAUGUCCUGGACCCAGAUGAAAAUUGGUGGUGAUUUCCACCACCAGUCAGCUCCUGCGGUUCUCAUGAAGAUUGUGUCUGCCUGUGCUCUUUUGCUGAGUACUCCCAGAAGUGUUCAUGGGCCAGAGGUGGUCCAUACUGCUUAUUGAUUCUGAAAGUUCAAAAGGACAAAUAUUUUUUCUAUCUACAGUGCAGUAUUUUGAUCUAGCAACCAAGGGUGUUGUUUGUUUGUUUGUCUGUUUAAUUUAUACUUUCUGGAAACCCAUUGCAUACUGACAUAAUAAAUGUCUAAAAAGUGUUUGAAGGAAGUAUUCCAUAUAUAUUCAGACAAACAAUUGUUAUCUUAUCAAAGGUGCCCUAGCUGAAUCAGAAAACAAAGAUAAUAAAACAAAUUAUG